CGGAUGUUCCAAUCGCGCCAGAGCAGGCGGUGAUGCAGAAGGACGGCGACCCAGACGAUAUGCAGGGGUUGCUCGCGGUGCUGGCCUAAUCGGCGAAUGAGGUUGCCGCGGCUGCGGCGCAAGAGGUCGCGGAGGCGGCGCUGGCUGCGACAAAGGCGGUUGUGGCGGAGGAGGACGCCGGUGUGGACUGGGGUAACCUAGAGAAUGCCAGCGACGACGGCGGCGGCGAUGACGACGGCGGCAUGGUGCAGGUCCUCGACCUUGCCACCAGCGACGAGUAGUGGUAGUUUAGGUUUUUUUAAUGUUUAAUUUCCAAUUUCGUUCAAAUCGUUGUAAAAAAAUCCUAAAUAUGAUUGGAAUUUGAAACCUUUUUUAUUCUUCAAAUGUUGUUUUGAAUAUUUGAAAACCCCGACGGCGACCGAGGACAAGUUGCGCCGCCACCCCGACGGCCGGUGGAACAUCAGGAACUGGUGGCGGUGCUGGGAGGCCAAGUGCUUCGACAAUGUCAUCAUUGUGUACCAGCAGGCGGAAAGAGGCUUGAACCCCUUCCUUGCCGACGACGCCGCCGGAGCGGGCUCCUCCCGCGGCCGCACCCGUGCCCCCGUUGCCGCCCCCGCGCCCGCCCCGCCCCUGCCCCGACGGAUGUUCCAAUCGCGCCAGAGCAGGCGGUGAUGCAGCAGGACGGCUACCCAGACGAUAUGCAGGGGUUGCUCGCGGUGCUGGCCUAAUCGGCGAAUGAGGUUGCCGCGGCUGCGGCGCAAGAGGUCACGGAGGCGGCGCUGGCUGCGACAAAGGCGGUUGUGGCGGAGGAGGACGCCGGUGUAGACUGGGGUAACCUAGAGAAUGCCAGCGACGACGGCGGCGACGAUGACGACGGCGGCAUGGUGCAGGUCCUCGACCUCGCCGCGAGUGACGAGUAGUGGUAGUUUAGGUUUUUUUAAUGUUUAAUUUCCAAUUUUGUUCAAAUCGUUGUAAAAAAAUCCUAAAUAUGAUUGGAAUUUGAAACCUUUUUUCAUUCUUGAAAUGUUGUUUUGAAUAUUUGAAAACCCUCGUGAAGGCUUACAAAGUAACACUGUGCGAUGAAGCUAAAAAGAUUUAAAAUAAAAAGGCUUGAACCCCUUCCUUGCCGACGACGCCGCCGGAGCGGGCUCCUCCCGUGGCCGCACCCGUGCCCCCGUUGCCGCCCCCGCGCCCGCCCCGCCCCUGCCCCGACGGAUGUUCCAAUCGCGCCAGAGCAGGCGGUGAUGCAGCAGGACGGCGACCCAGACGAUAUGCAGGGGUUGCUCGCGGUGCUGGCCUAAUCGGCGAAUGAGGUUGCCGCGGCUGCGGCGCAACAGGUCACGGAGGCGGCGCUGGCUGCGACAAAGGCGGUUGUGGCGGAGGAGGACGCCGGUGUGGACUGGGGUAACCUAUAGAAUGCCAGCGACGACGGCCGCGGCGAUGACGACGGCGGCAUGGUGCAGGUCCUCGACCUCGCCGCGAGUGACGAGUAGUGGUAGUUUAGGUUUUUUUAAUGUUUAAUUUCCAAUUUCGUUCAAAUCGUUGUAAAAAAAAUCUUAAAUAUGAUUGGAAUUUGAAACCUUUUUUCAUUCUUGAAAUGUUGUUUUGAAUAUUUGAAAACCCCGACGGCGACCGAGGACAAGCUGCGCCGCCACCCCGACGGCCGGUGGAACAUCAGGAACUGGUGGCCGUGCUGGGAGGCCAAGUGCUUCGACAAUGUCAUCAUUGUGUACCAGCAGGCGGAAAGAGGCUUGAACCCCUUCCUUGCGGACGACGCCGCCGGAGCGGGCUCCUCCCGCGGCCGCACUCGUGCCCCCGUUGCCGCCCCCGCGCCCGCCCCGCCCCUGCCCCGACGGUUGUUCCAAUCCCGCUAGUGCAGGCGGUGAUGCAGCAGGACGACGACCCAGACGAUAUGCAGGGGUUGCUCGCGGUGCUGGCCUAAUCGGCGAAUGAGGUUGCCGCGGUUGCGGCGCAAGAGGUCGCGGAGGCGGCGGUGGCUGCGACAAAGGCGGUUGUGGCGGAGGAGGACGCCGGUGUGGACUGGGGUAACCUAGAGAAUGCCAGCGACGACGGCGGCGGCGAUGACGACGGCGGCAUGGUGCAGGUCCUCGACCUCGCCGCGAGUGACGAGUAGUGGUAGUUUAGGUUUUUUUAAUGUUUAAUUUCCAAUUUCGUUCAAAUCGUUGUAAAAAAAUCCUAAAUAUGAUUGGAAUUUGAAACCUUUUUUCAUUCUUGAAAUGUUGUUUUGAAUAUUUGAAAACCCCGACGGCGACCGAGGACAAGCUGCGUCGCCACCCCGACGGCCGGUGGAACAUCAGGAACUGGUGGCGGUGCUGGGAGGCCAAGUGCUUCGACAAUGUCAUCAUUGUGUACCAGCAGGCGGAAAGAGGCUUGAACCCCUUCCUUGCGGACGACGCCGCCGGAGCGGGCUCCUCCCGCGGCCGCACCCGUGCCCCCGUUGCCGCCCCCGCGCCCGCCCCGCCCCUGCCCCGACGGAUGUUCCAAUCGCGCUAGAGCAGGCGGUGAUGCAGCAGGACGACGACCCAGAUGAUAUGCAGGGGUUGCUCGCGGUGCUGGCCUAAUCGGCGAAUGAGGUUGCCGCGGCUGCGGCGCAAGAGGUCGCGGAGGCGGCGGUGGCUGCGACAAAGGCGGUUGUGGCGGAGGAGGACGCCGGUGUGGAUUGGGGUAACCUAGAGAAUGCCAGCGACGACGGCGGCGGCGAUGACGACGGCGGCAUGGUGCAGGUCCUCGACCUCGUCGCGAGUGACGAGUAGUGGUAGUUUAGGUUUUUUUAAUGUUUAAUUUCCAAUUUCGUUCAAAUCGUUGUAAAAAAAUCCUAAAUAUGAUUGGAAUUUGAAACCUUUUUU
rnacentral:lncRNA from 1 species